rnacentral:rRNA from 1 species
CCUACGGGUGGCAGCAGUGGGGAAUAUUGGACAAUGGGCGAAAGCCUGAUCCAGCCAUGCCGCGUGUGUGAAGAAGGCCUUCGGGUUGUAAAGCACUUUCAGUGGGGAAGAAAGCCUUGGGGCUAAUACCCUCGAGGAAGGACAUCACCCACAGAAGAAGCACCGGCUAACUCCGUGCCAGCAGCCGCGGUAAUACGGAGGGUGCGAGCGUUAAUCGGAAUUACUGGGCGUAAAGCGCGCGUAGGCGGUCUGAUAAGCCGGUUGUGAAAGCCCCGGGCUCAACCUGGGAACGGCAUCCGGAACUGUCAGGCUAGAGUGCAGGAGAGGAAGGUAGAAUUCCCGGUGUAGCGGUGAAAUGCGUAGAGCUCGGGAGGAAUACCAGUGGCGAAGGCGGCCUUCUGGACUGACACUGACGCUGAGGUGCGAAAGCGUGUGUAGCAAACAGGAUUAGAUACCCGAGUAGUC